CGCCGACUUCGCGCUCGACCUGCUCACGGAUGGCCGCGUCCGUAUCGGCCUGAGCCUGGACGGCGGCCUGCCGCUGGAUGGCGUCGACAGCCGCCUGGUCGACGAGCGCCCUGGCAAUUUCGGCCCGACGGUGGCGUAUUUCGGCUGCAAGGCGCGUCGCCGGGAUGGCACCGCCCAUGGCCUCGACCUCGGCCUGGGCACGUACGCGGGCCUCUUCGGACGCGCGCGUCUGCGCCUCUUCCAACAGUCCUGCGGCGAUCUGCGCCUGGCGCUGCUGGCGGCUUUGCACCCACUCGACGCUCCGUUCGAGUUGGGCCGCACGGUCCCGUUUGUAGGUGGCCAACGCUUCGGCGUCCUCGAUGGGCUCGGCACUCGAUUCCUCGCGUCCCAGACGCACGCCGCCGAUGCCGCCCACGUCGCUCCGGGUGCCCCCCACCUUGCGACCACGGCCCCGCCGUGGGCGCGUAAACCGGUCGGCCCAUGCCUGACGCUUGGCCGCCUUUGUCUGCUGGCUGGCCGCGACGAGUUGGCCCAAUGUGCGCGGGCCAGCGGCGGCGAUCCUGCGACGUUGCUGUUCGCGCUGUUCGCGCUCGGACGGAGCGGGGAACGGGUUGAGGGCUAUUAGGUCGGCCCUAUCUACUGCCGUCAGUGGCUGACCCUGAAUCGGCUCGGCGGCGGGCGCAGCGGCAGCGGCACCAUCGAUGCGACGCACCGUAUCGAUUUCGGUUGAGCGUCCGAUGUAGUAGCGGUUGUCGGGCGAGACGCCGGCGGGACGUGUCCGUGCGACGAGGCGCACACCGCCGCCACCGGGCGCGGCAACGGCCCUCACGGGCAGCGUGUAGGCGUCCUGACCCAGGGCCAGUGUGACACCCGGCUCAUUCAUGUAGGCGCGCAUAAAGGCCGCCUGUUCGGGGUCGCGCGCCGCGGCCGGGUCGAGCACAAAAUAGUAUUGGCCACCAAUGACAGUCGCCAGCCGGUAGGGAAACUCGACGAUGGCACCGGGCGGGGUCUCGGGGUCGGGCGCCAGUGCGAUCCUAUACAGGCCGCCCGGACGCGCACUGCCGAGGUAGCCCACUGCCGCACCGAGCGCUGGAUUGUUGCGGUCGUAAAGUGUGGUUGCCGCCGUCGCGCUCGUCGGUGCCUCCAUGCUGUUGCUGGCUGUCGGCCGCGCAGUGGCCACGGCGAAAACACAAAGUCCUCUUUAUGCCUCUUUUUCUUUCGGU
rnacentral:lncRNA from 1 species